rnacentral:rRNA from 1 species
CGGCGGACGGGUGAGUAACGCGUGGGUAACCUGCCUCAUACAGGGGGAUAACAGUUAGAAAUGACUGCUAAUACCGCAUAAGCACACAGAACCGCAUGGUUCGGGGUGAAAAGCCGAGACGGUAUGAGAUGGACCCGCGUCUGAUUAGCUAGUUGGAGGGGUAACGGCCCACCAAGGCAACGAUCAGUAGCCGACCUGAGAGGGUGACCGGCCACAUUGGGACUGAGACACGGCCCAAACUCCUACGGGAGGCAGCAG